rnacentral:tRNA from 1 species
GGGGUUGUAGUUAAAAAUAACAUUUAAUUUGCAAUUAAAAAGAACUAAAACAUUAGUCUACCUCA